rnacentral:lncRNA from 1 species
GCCCUUCCUAAUUUGGUCUUAAUCAGGCUGAGCUAAGCCAGUCUGUAUUUGAGGAGUUGGAAGCAGGUGAUUCGGGCACAAAUUUGAAGGCUGAUAAACGGCAGCCGUCACCCGUGCACUCAGAGCGGCCAGAAGUCCUGCUCCUGGGGAAGGAGGAAGGGCGCAAGGGCAAUGAGCAUGUCGCCUUGCCCUCGGGGUGUGCGGUUUCUGCUCAGCCUCCUCUUGCAGCCUUGUUUCAAGUGUGGGAAUGGCCUCCUGACUCCCAAUCCGAAACAACUGCUGAGCACAGAAGGCAGAGCAGGGCCCUGAGAGUCAGAGGAAAAUGCUGCUGCGGGGACUGGGGAGCCCCAUCGGGUGACUCCCCAGAGAUGUGAGCAGGUGCAGAGGCUGGAACAACAGUGCUGCAGGAAAGUCUCUCCCGUGGAUGCUGUGGCCUGGGGCUUGGGUGACGACGUGCACGGCUGCCUCCUCGCUGUCACGUGCUCUGCUGGCUCGUCUCCAAGCUGUGCUGCUCAUGUUCCAAAGUCUCCCUGGAGGCUUUAGUGAAAAGCCCUUUCCCCGGUGACCUGGAGUGUCUUGCUAGAUGGAGCUGGCCAAGCCUGACGUCUUUUCCUGGCCGAUGCCUCAGUCCUUAUGCAAGUAGGUGCAGCCACAAAAGGCACCUUCAUG